rnacentral:rRNA from 1 species
UACGAAGGGGGCUAGCGUUGCUCGGAAUCACUGGGCGUAAAGCGCACGUAGGCGGCUUUCUAAGUCAGGGGUGAAAUCCUGGAGCUCAACUCCAGAACUGCCUUUGAUACUGGAGAGCUUGAGUCCGGAAGAGGUGAGUGGAACUCCGAGUGUAGAGGUGAAAUUCGUAGAUAUUCGGAAGAACACCAGUGGCGAAGGCGGCUCACUGGUCCGGUACUGACGCUGAGGCGCGAAAGCGUGGGUAGCAAACAGG